GACGAACGCUGGCGGCGUGCUUAACACAUGCGAGUCGAACGGAAAGGCCCUGCUUUUGUGGGGUGCUCGAGUGGCGAACGGGUGAGUAACACGUGAGUAACCUGCCCUUGACUUUGGGAUAACUUCAGGAAACUGGGGCUAAUACCGGAUAGGAGCUCCUGCUGCAUGGUGGGGGUUGGAAAGUUUCGGCGGUUGGGGAUGGACUCGCGGCUUAUCAGCUUGUUGGUGGGGUAGUGGCUUACCAAGGCUUUGACGGGUAGCCGGCCUGAGAGGGUGACCGGCCACAUUGGGACUGAGAUACGGCCCAGACUCCUACGUGAGGCAGCAGUGGGGAAUAUUGCACAAGGGGCGGAAGCCUGAUGCAGCAACGCCGCGUGCGGGAUGACGGCCUUCGGGUUGUAAACCGCUUUCGCCUGUGACGAAGCGUGAGUGACGGUAAUGGGUAAAGAAGCACCGGCUAACUACGU
rnacentral:rRNA from 1 species